rnacentral:lncRNA from 1 species
AACGGUGCCCGAGGGACUCGCGCUGCCCGUUAAGCAGCUUUGCGGUGGCGGAGGCUGGGCUGCCGUCUCUCCGACAUCCCGGGACAGAGGAAGAGAUGAAGGCUCUGCAGCCCCCGCCGCCCGAUUUACGCUUGAGAAAGCGAAGGCGAGAGAGGUCGUCCAGCCCCUGGGGGCCCAGCCCUAGAGAGCGGGGCGCGGGCUGCGGGGCCCGGCGGCCUGGACGGCGGAGCGUUGAAAGCUCCCCCAGGGAUAGGAAGUGCAGCCGAAAUCAACGACUGAGGGUCUGAGCACCUCCCUCAUGACCUCCCUCAUGCAGACAGAGCCCUGGCUCCCAUGUUCACCAUGCUGAGAAAGACCUGCGGGGGACAGCAGGAGGACAGCCGGGGAAUGGGCCCGCACUUGCCCAGAGGCAGAGCUCGUGCAUGCCCGACCUCGCUCCUCACGGCUCCCUGGGCAGCAGCGCCCUGGCAGUUGGAACUGGAAGGCUUAUCAGAGUCCACGCAGCCCCACCGCCCUCCCCACUCUCGGGGGGGGGGCAUCGGGGGACAGGGCCAGGGCAGGGAGGAAGACAGGGCCCGGCUCACCCCACAGCUCAGCCCAUGAGGGUGCGCAGAGCAGGGCUGGCAGGAGUGGGCCACUCCACACCCAGUCCUGUUGAAGAGAAAGAACAGAAAUAGGGAACAGAAAGUUGUCGAUUGCUGUGUAACAAAUCGCCCGCAGUUUAGCGCCUUCAAACAAACGUAACUCCACAGUGUCUGUGGGUCAGACAUCCAGGCCCGGUGAAGGGGCCUCUGCCUCAAGGUCCCUCCCGAGGCCUCAGUCAGGGCCCGGCCGGACUGUGAGUGGAUUGCACGCUCCGUGCGGGGAGGCUCGGCUUCUCUGCUGGCCCCGCGCCUGUGGGCGGGAUUCAGUUCCUCAUGGGCUAUUAGAGUGAGGGCCUCGAUCUUUUCUGCUGUUUGGCUGGAGGCCUCGCUCAGUUCUCUGCUGCACGGACCUUUCCUUGGCACAGCUCCCACAUAGCUGAGCAAGCCGCGAAGGCGGGCUCCUGCAGCCGAAGGGAAUUCUCCCCUCUUUCUGCUGUGUUCUGUUUGUGUAGGUUCAGCCCCGGGGAGGAGGUUCCACAGGACAGACAGACCAGGAGUUGGGGGAGUUGGGGGCGUUGAGGGCCAUCUCACAGGCUGCCCACCACAGCCCCCACGCAGCCACCUGUCUCUGUGUUCUUGCCACUGUCCCUACCCUCCAGGAGUGGGUCUGGUCUCAUCAGGGAGGGCAGCGCUCUCUUCACUCUGUCCUUACUCUGGUGUUUCACUGUGAUUUUAAAAACUGAAACUGCAAUUGUUACCCCUUGACAUAGCUGCACCCUGAGAGGGCCUCUGCGACGCCCCUCCUUCUCUUAAGCCUUUCCAAGCUGUCUGACGAUUUUUAAAUCCCAUUUCCUGAGUGACACAGAGCAUCUUUUCUUAAGCUUAUGAGUGACUUAUUUGUGUUUUCCUCAAAGCUAGAGGGGACCCCCAAUCUGUUUGUUUCCAGAGGCCCUGAUGGUAUCGUCUUGGGAGUGGAGGAACCUGAGGGAAAAGCCCAGGGGCGAGUCAGGGGAGAGCUCUGCCCUGGUGCCCUUGCACGUAUCCACAUGGGCCACAGCUGCACCCGGCUCUCAGCAGAGGGCAUCGCCAUGCUCCUGGGCACAGCCGGGCCCUCUCGCCUCCCUGCAGCUCCUGAUGCCUACCAGGCUCCGCUGAGGUCACCUUGGGCACUUAGCGUGGCUGCAGCUCUUUGCAGCCCCGUGUCCUGUCAUCCAUGUGGCCGUCAUGUGGUCACUUUUGGGCAUUGCCCUGCGCAAGGUCCAUGGGGACUGGGCACCUUUGGCCAUUCUUUCUUUGGUUGUCUGUGCAAGUAAUAAACUAAAUCUG